UACGUAGGGGGCAAGCGUUGUCCGGAUUUAUUGGGCGUAAAGAGCGUGUAGGCGGCCGUACAGGUCAGCUGUGAAAACUCGAGGCUCAACCUCGAGACGUCGGUUGAAACCGUACGGCUAGAGUCCGGAAGAGGAGAGUGGAAUUCCCGGUGUAGCGGUGAAAUGCGCAGAUAUCGGGAAGAACACCGGUGGCGAAGGCGGCUCUCUGGGACGGUACUGACGCUGAGACGCGAAAGCGUGGGGAGCGAACAGG
rnacentral:rRNA from 1 species